rnacentral:rRNA from 1 species
AUCGAACGCUGGCGGCAGGCUUAACACAUGCAAGUCGAGCGAGCGGCGGACGGGUGAGCAACGCCGGGGAACCUGCCUGAUGCAGGGGGAUAACUACUGGAAACGGUAGCCAAUUCCGCAUACCAUCAGAUGUGCCCAGAUGGGAUUAGCUAGUAGGUGGGGUAAUGGCUCACCUAGGCGACGAUCCCUAGCUGGUCUGAGAGGAUGACCAGCCACACUGGAACUGAGACACGGUCCAGACUCCGAGGGGAGGCAGCAGCGGCGAAUAUGGCAAAAUGGCCGCAAGCCUGAUGCAGCCACGCCGCGAGUGUGAAGAGGGCGUUCGUGUUGAAGAGCAGUUUCAGCGAGGAGACGUUAAUCGAAGAAGAGGCACCGGCUAACGCCGUGCCAGCAGCCGCGGUAAUUC